UUUCUGCAACUUUGCAAUGUCGUUCUGAGUUCUCGAUCUGUUUUCUACCGUUAUUUAGGUUUCACUUUGUAGUUUGUAACGUGCUCUGAAAUCUCGAUCUGUUUUCUGCCUAUUUUGACGAUUCACUCUGUUUUUAAGGAUUCGACAAAGGUGGGUAUUCAAUCGGUUGCAAUGGUAGUAGAAGGUUGUAGAAUCCGGCUGAGCACGUGGCAGCAGGUGGCGGUGGCAUUGGGAUCGGUGGUGGAGGCUUCGUUGGCUCCGCUAAGUACAGAUUUGAUAGCCGCUCAAAUAUGAAACGUAGUCGUCAAGAGGCUCGAGAAGAACAAGGAUAAAAUUGAAUUAAGGGAAGGAUCUUGGUUUGAACCAUUGAAGGAUGUUGAAGGAGAGCUCGCUUUGGUCUGGAGUUUGGACUUUCAAUUGGUAGUUAUGUAUUAACUAUACUCCUUUGUCCACACUUCCUUUCUCUCUACAUGCUUUUAAACCCUGCAAGCAUUUUUUUAAAUAUCUAUUUUCAAUUUAAUUUUUUUGGGUUGGUUCUAGAAGAUGUGUUAUUUUUUAGCAUAUAUAUCUUAAUUUUGCAGGUCUAUUUGCUGUUUGGAAAUAUCUAUUUUUAUUUCAAAAUGUUGGCUUUGGUAUGGUUUUAAACACGAUGUGUUCUUUCCGUUAAAGUUUGUAAUCUUGCAUGUCUCUGUUCGUUUUGUUUUAAAGAUAUAUUUUAUGAGGCAGGUAGACAUAAUUUCAUUUUCAUUCUAUUUCAAAAUUUGUAGAAUUUUUAUUGGUUUUUGAGCUUCUUGAGUAUCAUGUUAUUGAGAAUUAUGUGUUUGAGAUUAAGAAACACAAUGCAACUGCUGAGUUAUUGGGAAUUUUUGGUAGUGAAAAUGUCAAAAAUGCUAUCUUUAUACAUUUUAUACAAGGGGAUGGAAGGGAAUGGUAUUGUGCGGCGCCGCUCCUUCUUACCAAAUACUUUGUACAUGAUAAUGGGUAAGUUAUUUUUAGAUCAUGCAAUCAUUACCCAGUAAACAGAAAAGUCAGUUAUUUAAACCAAGCUCUAAAAGAUUGAUUCUUUUCGUUAUGUGGUCCUUCUCUUCAUAGACUUUGUUUGGCAUCACUUUUCUUUUUCUUCAAUUUUAUGCCCCCUCCCGAUGACAAUGCUCAAUGUUUUGUUCAUAUGGUAAGAAUUGAAAAUUUUGAAACUAGAAUUGAUAAAUCAUUCAAUCAUUACCCACUAACCAUAAACUUUAGUUAUUUAUUGUUGGCUCAAAAAGCUUGAUUCUUUUCAAUAUUUAGUUUCUCUUCUCUUCUCCUUUGAGGUCAUGGACACAACAAAUCUUGUCGGGUUUGUGAAUGCCCAGGUCCUUCCAAUUUUAUACGAAAGAAUGCGUGAACUGUGGUUCAGGUGAAUAUUUCUGAAGGUGAGGUUACCGCUGCAAAAUCCACUGGUGAUUCUCAGAUAACCAUGAAAAAGCAGCUACAAGUCCCUCUCAUGAACUAUAUUGAGGAUUUGAGGUUCAAUUGAAUGUCAAGUGAUCUGGAGAGACAAUCAAUGACAUACAUCUAUGCCCACAAUGCAAGAGAGAGAAAUGAGAAAGAAGAAGGUUUAGGAAUCUUCAUAUGCUCUUUUUAGUCUUGGGGAACAGACAGUAUGAUAAUUUUAACAUGGUUUGCAUUUGAAAUUCUGCUUUUUUUAUGAAUUUAUAAGCUUUGAGUCUAGUGAUAGAGUUGCUACUUCCUGUGCUAUAUCUCAUCCCUAUGUGAAUUGAUUCAAAUGGCGAACGUAGUGGAUGAGAAGCUUUUAGAAUUUCACAUUUCAGACUUUGGGGUUGUGUAAGUACCUGUAGGACCUGUGGCGAAGGAGUGGAAGGAGCAUAUCCCUUACCCUAAUAGAAGACUUUAUUUAUUUCUCUUACAUGUACUGUAAAGCCAUUUAUGUUGAUAAACAAUUUCAAAAUGAUAUACCGAUGUUGGUUAGUCACAAGCUACUGAAAAUUUUCCUAAAUA